GUCUACGGCCAUGCCACCCUGAACAAGCCCGAUCCCAUUUGAUCUUGGAAGCUAAGCAGGGUCGGGCCUGGUGAGUACUUAGAUGGGAGACCACCUAGGAAGACCUGUGCUGUAGGCG
rnacentral:rRNA from 1 species